AGCGAACGCUGGCGGUAGGCCUAACACAUGCAAGUCGAGCGCCCCGCAAGGGGAGCGGCAGACGGGAGAGUAACACGUGGGAACAUGCCCUUCAGUUCGGAACAACCCAGGGAAACUUGGGCUAAUACCGAAUACGUCCGCAAGGAGAAAGAUUUAUCGCUGAAGGAUUGGCCCGCGUCCGAUUAGCUAGUUGGUGGGGUAAUGGCUCACCAAGGCGACGAUCGGUAGCUGGUCUGAGAGGAUGAUCAGCCUCACUGGGACUGAGACACGGCCCAGACUCCUACGGGAGGCAGCAGUGGGGAAUAUUGGACAAUGGGCGCAAGCCUGAUCCAGCCAUGCCGCGUGGGUGAUGAAGGCCCUAGGGUUGUAAAGCCCUUUCGGCGGGGAAGAUAAUGACGGUACCCGCAGAAGAAGCCCCGGCUAACUUCGUGCCAGCCGCCGCAGUAAUAC
rnacentral:rRNA from 1 species